rnacentral:rRNA from 1 species
GACGAACGCUGGCGGCGUGCCUAAUACAUGCAAGUAGAACGCUGAAGAGAGGAGCUUGCUCUUCUUGGAUGAGUUGCGAACGGGUGAGUAACGCGUAGGUAACCUGCCUUGUAGCGGGGGAUAACUAUUGGAAACGAUAGCUAAUACCGCAUAACAAUGGAUGACCCAUGUCAUUUAUUUGAAAGGGGCAAAUGCUCCACUACAAGAUGGACCUGCGUUGUAUUAGCUAGUAGGUGAGGUAACGGCUCACCUAGGCGACGAUACAUAGCCGACCUGAGAGGGUGAUCGGCCACACUGGGACUGAGACACGGCCCAGACUCCUACGGGAGGCAGCAGUAGGGAAUCUUCGGCAAUGGGGGCAACCCUGACCGAGCAACGCCGCGUGAGUGAAGAAGGUUUUCGGAUCGUAAAGCUCUGUUGUAAGUCAAGAACGAGUGUGAGAGUGGAAAGUUCACACUGUGACGGUAGC